AGAAGCACUCCUCCUGGACCACAGGUGUGGUCCUGGUUGCAAAGUUUUGAUGUGACAUCAACACUACACAAAAGUAAAUGUAACUGCAAAAUUUUGAAAUUCACAGAUGGGUCUUUGAAGUCCAGCUCAAAAGCGUGGAGGGCUGGUUAAAAUAAGUCACAGACUUGCCGGUUUGGGGUUUCUAGAAAGAAAAGUAACUUGAGGAGUUGAAGGCUUGUAGAAGACCUUUCCACAGAGAGUGGGAAUUCCGUUGCAGCAGCCAAG
rnacentral:lncRNA from 1 species